rnacentral:rRNA from 1 species
UACGGAGGGUGCAAGCGUUGUUCGGAAUUACUGGGCGUAAAGAGCACGUAGGCGGGCUCAUAAGCUAGCUGUGAAAGCCCUGGGCUUAACCUGGGAAUUGCAGUUAGAACUGUGAGUCUUGAAUGCUUGAGAGGUUGGGGAAAUUCCUGGUGUAGAAGUGAAAUUCGUAGAUAUCAGGAGGAACACCGGAGGCGAAGGCGCCUGACUGGCAAUGCAUUGACGCUGAGGUGCGAAAGCGCGGGUAGCAAACAGG